ACGGGUGAGUAACACGUAGGUAACCUGCCCACCAGACGGGGAUAACGACCGGAAACGGUAGCUAAUACCGGAUAGAUCCUGUCGCCGCAUGGCGAAAGGAAGAAAGGCGGCUUGGGCUGUCGUUGGUGGAAGGGCCUGCGGCGCAUUAGCUAGUUGGUAGAGUAACGGCCUACCAAGGCGACGAUGCGUAGCCGACCUGAGAGGGUGAACGGCCACACUGGGACUGAGACACGGCCCAGACUCCUACGGGAGGCAGCAGUAGGGAAUCUUCCGCAAUGGGCGCAAGCCUGACGGAGCAACGCCGCGUGAGUGAAGAAGGUUUUCGGAUCGUAAAGCUCUGUUGCCAGGGAAGAACGACUUUUGGAGGAACUGCCAGAAGAGUGACGGUACCUGAGAAGAAAGCCCCGGCUAACUACGUGCCAGCAGCCGCGGUAAUACGUAGGGGGCAAGCGUUGUCCGGAAUUAUUGGGCGUAAAGCGCGCGCAGGCGGCCGUUUAAGUCCGGUGUAUAAGCCCGGGGCUCAACCCCGGAUCGCACGGGAAACUGGAGGGCUUGAGAACAGCAGAGGAGAGUGG
rnacentral:rRNA from 1 species